rnacentral:rRNA from 1 species
UACGGAGGGUGCAAGCGUUGUUCGGAAUUAUUGGGCGUAAAGAGCGUGUAGGCGGCCUUGUAAGUCAGAUGUGAAAGCCCUUGGCUUAACCAAGGAAGGGCAUUUGAAACUGCUUGGCUUGAGUACGGGAGGGGGAAGCGGAAUUCCCGGUGUAGAGGUGAAAUUCGUAGAUAUCGGGAGGAACACCGGUGGCGAAGGCGGCUUCCUGGACCGAUACUGACGCUGAGACGCGAAAGCGUGGGGAG